rnacentral:tRNA from 1 species
GCGCCCGUAGCUCAGUUGGAUAGAGUGCUGGUUUCCGAAGCCAGAGGUCACAGGUUCGAAUCCUGUCGGGCGCGCCA